rnacentral:lncRNA from 1 species
GUAGCUUAGAUGGGAAUAAGGACGGGUGGUGCCCAGCUAUGCACACCAACGCCUGAGGAUUAAAUGUAAUUUGGGACUGCGCAAGCACUUAGAGCUGUGCUGGGAUCAAGAAAGUGUUAAUUAUUGUCUGGGGUUCGAGGGCCUGUGAGAAUGAAAACUGAUGACAACGUGACUGAUUUUUGCGCAUACAUGAAAAAACUUGUCAAAGGCUUUCAGAGCCUCGUGACCCUCUGCUUCCCAUUCUGGUCCUAGAGAUGCGGAGCUCAGAGCCACUGUUUUCCUGUGUGGCUCUUGACUGUUUCUAAGCCUCUCUGAGCCUCAGUUUCCUAAUGUGGAAAAUGGGAUCAUCUUAUGGGAUCAUGGUGAAAAUUGAGAAGACAUUGCUGGAGGCUUAGGAGCAGACUGGGACCUGGUUCCCAAUUCAGAACCUCCAGCACUCCUCUUAUGAGUCAAGACACUUAAACUCUCCAGCCUGAAACAAGAUAGGCUUCUGGCUGCCCUCGUGACCCUAGCCCAGGCCUAACUGCCAAGAACAGCACUGGGGAUCCAGCCUAAGGAGAAACAGGUAGAAUUCUGAACCUGGCACUCCAGACAAGCUUCCAGUGUCUAAAGAGAAGAAAGAAUCUAUCCGUGAAUUCCUCCAGGUUCCUGAGGAGUGGAGGGGGGUAGGGAAGGCCAGAAGCCGCAGAAUGAUGAUAACUGUCAUAUCCCAUGCCUACUAACUCAGCACUCCCUCCCCUCAGCCUGACUGCCCUGCUGUAGACAGAUACAUGAGCUUCCAUAUUAGAAGAGCUAACGGAAUGGGUAGAGGAUUGUGGUUUCUUCCUCUAUGUCCCCAAGGCCCUACUUGACACAUCAUGUGCAGUCAAUAAACAUUGAAUGAAUAAGUGAUUGUGGUAGGAAAAUAAUGUGGCAUGGAAGAUGUCCAAUUUCUGAGCUCCACAAUUUCCUUGCAAACUUGGAAAUGGCUCCAUGAGCCACUAGAGUCCGGGCCACGUGUUACAAGGCGACAGACACAGAGUGGGCAUGCCUGCUCAGCUCCAGCUGGCCUAGGUGGCACAGGGCCUGACAGACUCCAUCCCACUCAUCUUGUACCCAUGGUGACCAGGCCAGUUCUUUUAGCUGGCU